UAAAGCUUAGUGUGUGGUCAUCUUCAUUUUAACAUGUCAGUGAGUAUUCAGACAACUGGUCCUGACUCUACAAGCUGUCUAAUGCAGGUGCUAAAGCUCUUUGGUGUGUUGCUAUGAGCUGGUAACUCUGUGGAGACAUCUGACAGGUCACAGUGUUCACUACAUGAUGUAUUGUUAUAGCAGAAGAUGUUUUGCUGUCGCUUACGAAACCAAACUGCUCUUCUUUUCUGUUUCUGCAGGCUUUAUCUCCCCAGCGGUCAGUCCCCACUGAGCGCGCUGUUACACUCUGCUAAAGCUCUGAAACACAAACCACUUUUAUUUAAGAUGCAGUUUUAGGAGUGGACUAAUCCAGUGGCACAAAUACAACUGAGGGUGACUGCAGUGUGAUCGCAUCAUGCACAGACAGAGCUGCGAUCAGUCUGGAUGAUCGUCUCCGUUUACGCACACUUUACGCACUAAUUGGUUGCACUGCGCACGUUUGUCGCUCAUUUGACUCAGACUGACACCAAAGUUGUUUGGGGAAAACACAGUUCUGUGCGCCUGAGCUCUGAAGCUCUAUCAGCAUCUAUUUAAUAACAGACACAGAGUUCUCUCACCCUGACGGUAACGCGGUGCCUCUCAGCUGCUGCUGCUGUGUAGUUACUGGAAAACACAAAACGUCUGAGUCCUACCUAUUUUAUCUCCAGAUAAGUAACAAAUGUGUCCUCCUUUGUGAGCUUCUCUCGACCACUCGUGAUUUUUAAUGCGCUUCCCUGCAGUCUCUCUUCUUCAGGAGAGAACAAGAGACAGAGAGAGAGAGAAAGAGAGAGAGAGAGGGAGAUAUUGUUCUUCGUCUCUGGAUGAGAUCCAGCACAGCUCCUCCUUCGCUUCCUCUCCUGGAUUGUGCAUUCCACAAAUUAUUUGUUGUCGGGAUUUUUCACCGUUAAAAGUUCAUUUAGAGGACAGAGAAACAGUCCAAUAGUGAGGCGCUCAAACCUUCCUGCUGUCAUCUGCAGACAUCUCAGAUAUUCCAGGACUUGCAAACUUAAAGUCGGGUAAAAUGCCUUCUGAGGGGGCAGUGCCAGCAGUUGGACCCAGGUUACAUCGCCUCACUGCCUGGUUUGACCCUGAAACUGCUGGGGUUGUGACCAUCCUCUUGGGGCUGUUCCAGGUGGUGCUGUCUGUUCCACUCGCUUAUGCUGAUCAAACUCUACCAAAACUCUUCAUACUGCCACUUGUCUUAGGAAU